rnacentral:rRNA from 1 species
UACGUAGGGUGCAAGCGUUGUCCGGAAUUAUUGGGCGUAAAGAGCUCGUAGGCGGUUUGUCGCGUCGAAUGUGAAAACCCGGGGCUCAACCCCGGGCCUGCGGUCGAUACGGGCAGACUUGAGUUCGGCAGGGGAGACUGGAAUUCCUGGUGUAGCGGUGAAAUGCGCAGAUAUCAGGAGGAACACCGGUGGCGAAGGCGGGUCUCUGGGCCGAUACUGACGCUGAGGAGCGAAAGCGUGGGGAGCGAACAGG